rnacentral:rRNA from 1 species
GGACCCGCACAAGUAGUGGAGCAUGUGGUUUAAUUCGAAGAUACGCGCAGAACCUUACCAACACUUGACAUGUUCGUCGCGACUCUGAGAGAUUAGAGUUUUCGGUUCGGCCGGACGAAACACAGGUGCUGCAUGGCUGUCGUCAGCUCGUGUCGUGAGAUGUUGGGUUAAGUCCCGCAACGAGCGCAACCCUCACUUUUAGUUGCCAUCAUUAAGUUGGGCACUCUGAAAGAACUGCCAGUGAUAAGCUGGAGGAAGGUGGGGAUGACGUCAAGUCCUCAUGGCCCUUACGUGUUGGGCUACACACGUGCUACAAUGGUAUCUACAACAGGAAGCAAAACGGCGACGUUAAGCAAAUCCUCAAAAGAUACCUCAGUUCGGAUUGCACUCUGCAACUCGAGUGCAUGAAGCUGGAAUUACUAGUAAUCG